rnacentral:rRNA from 1 species
AUUGAACGCUGGCGGCAUGCUUUACACAUGCAAGUCGAACGGCAGCGCGGGCUUCGGCCUGGCGGCGAGUGGCGAACGGGUGAGUAAUACAUCGGAACGUGCCCAGUAGCGGGGGAUAGCUCGGCGAAAGCCGGAUUAAUACCGCAUACGACCUGAGGGUGAAAGCGGGGGAUCUUCGGACCUCGCGCUAUUGGAGCGGCCGAUGGCAGAUUAGCUAGUUGGUGGGGUAAAGGCCUACCAAGGCGACGAUCUGUAGCUGGGCUGAGAGGACGACCAGCCACACUGGGACUGAGCCACGGCCCAGACUCCUACGGGAGGCAGCAGUGGGGAAUUUUGGACAAUGGGCGGAAGCCUGAUCCAGCAAUGCCGCGUGUGUGAUGAAGGCCUUCGGGUUGUAAAGCACUUUUGGCGGGAACGAAAAGGACUGUGCCAAUACCACGGUUCGAUGACGGUACCCGCAGAAUAAGCACCGGCUAACUACGUG